AUGGUGAAGGUCAGAGUGAAUGCAUUAAGCUAUGUUGGGUGCCUGGUUUCCAGGGCUGCCAGCUUACCUGGUAAAGUGGAGAUUGUUGCAAUCAAUGACCCCCUUCACUGACUUCAACUACAUGGUCUACAUGUUCCAGUAUGGCUUUAUCCAUGGCAAGUUCAACAGUAUAGUCAAGACUGAGAAUGAGAAACUUGUCAUCAAUGGGAAGCACAUUACUAUCUUCCAGGAGUGAGAUCCUGCUAACAUCAAAUGGGGUAAUGCUGGUGAUGAAUAUGUCAUGGUGUCUACUGGUGUCUUCACCAUGGAGAAUGUUGGGACCCCAUAGAAGGGAGGGGUCUAAAGAGUUCUCAUCUGAUGCCCCUUCUUCUGAUGCCCACAUGUUUGUGAUGGGUGUGAACCACGAGAAGUAAGCUUGUCAGCAAUCCUUCCUGCACCAUCAACUGCUUAGCUCCCCUGGCCAAGGUUAUCCAUGAUAACUUUGGCAUUGUGGAAGGACUCAUGAUCAUAAUCUAUGCUGUCACUGCUACUAGAAGACUGGGGAUGGACCUUCUGGAAAGCUGUGGUGUGACUGGUAUUGGGCUGCCCAGAACAUCAUCUUUGCAUCCACUGGUGCUGCCAAGGCUGUAUGUAGGCAAGGUCAUCCCAGAGCUGAAUGGGAAGCUCGCUAUCAUGGCAUUCUCUGUUCCUAUCCCAGUGUGUCUGUUGUGGAUCUGACAUUCCACUUGGAGAAGGCUGCCAAGUUUGAUGACAUCAAGAAGGUGGUGAAGCAGGCAUGGGCAGGCCCACUGAAGGGCAUCCUGGGCUAUACUGAGGUUGUCUCCUGUGACUUUAACAGUGACUUCUACUCUUCCACCUUUGAUGCUGGGGCUGGCAUUCUUCUCAACUACAACGUUGUAAAGCUCAUUUCCUGGUACGCCAAUGAAUACUCUAUAGCAACAUGAUGGUGAACCUUAUGACCUACAUGGCCUCCAAGGAUUAA
rnacentral:lncRNA from 1 species